CUUGCACGACUGACGGAAGUGGAGUUCACCACGGGGAGUGCAAGUGGCAGCGUUGCUGCAGGAGAGCCGACCGUCUGGGCAA
rnacentral:ncRNA from 1 species